AUAUGUGCUGGCUUUAAUUUACAUUCAUGUUAUUAUCACCCUGCAAUAGGCGGAGGGAUAUUGUUUUGGCCUUGUCCGCCUGUCUUUCCGUCCAUCCGGCACUUUUGUGUUGGGAGCCAUACCUUGGAAGUGCUUUGGUGGAUUUCAUCGAAACUUGGUAUGAGUAUAUGUAUAGAUAAGAGGAUGAUGCAUGCCAAAUGGCAUUGUACACUAUCUGUUAAUAACAGAGUUAUGGCCCUUCGAACCUAAAAAAAUGCUUUUUUACCUGAGUGUCAAAUAUAACACUUUUGUGUCCAGAAGCUAAUUAGCGGGGGAUAUCAAUUCAAUGAAUUUGCUUGUUAUUAAUUGAAGGGAAAUAGACCUGUUAUUUUGUCUCUCAUUAUGGUGUUUAAAGUCACAUUUAAUGGCAUCCAACCUACUUUAUUUCAAAUACAGUAACACCUGGCGCCGUGACCUGGAUGCAGAUUCUAAGCAGAUGGGCCAAAAUGGGGGCAGCUAGAGAGACUCGCCUGGAACUGACAAGCCUGGAGGGAGCUGGUUGACUGUUGGCGAGAUGGGACAACAGACGAAGAAUAAACGAACCUACUUGAUUUGAUUAACAUUUUUUUUCGUCGGAAGACAUUUCCCACCAACCAUCCUGUCUUGAAAGAAAUAACUUUUGAACCCGAUUAUCUGAUAUUUUCCAGUUUCCCCUCACAACAAUUUGCAUCAAACCUCUUGUCUGUUUGGCAGACAAAACAUGCUGAUCAAAAAGAAUGUGUACCACAGGGGCCAGUGUUUCCAUUUGAGUGAUUGACAAGGAGAAGAAGAGAUGAGAAAUUCUCUGGUUGCUUGAUGUGGCGACUGCAGAAGUGGCUCAGCAAAGCGUCUUCGUUGGAGCAAACAACCCUGCAUUCUGGACACCGAUUGUGCGCCUCCUUUAAAUAUAAAACUUUGUAAAACAUUUAUUUUUCAUCAUUUUAACCAAUAAAUACCUACUAAACAAGAACUUUGACAUUAACUUAGAUAAGAAAACAUAUAUAUUAUUUUCAAUUAAAUUGUUAAACAAGAGCUGUCUCCAUAGGAUGACGUAUGCCCCCAAUAAAUGCUUUGAUAGAAAUUAUGAGCAUUUUUCGAACCCUAAACGCGGACCCUAAGGUCAAGGUCAUGGGGUAAAAAUUUGUGUGGGUAUGGAAAGGCCUUGUCCAUAUACACAUGCAUAUCAAAUAUGAAUGUUACAUCUGAAGCGACAAAAGAAGUUAUGAGCAUUUUUCGAAACCUAAACACAAAGUGUGACGGACAGACAGACAUCAGACAAACAGACAGAAGGACAGUUCGAUCACUAUAUGCCCUCCUU